rnacentral:lncRNA from 1 species
AUCAUCGAAUACACAUCUCCAUAUCGCCAUACAUUCAAAACAUCAAAGUAAAGAGACAAAAAAAAAAAGGCAAGGAAAGAACACUUUCGACAAGAGCAAUUCUCAGGCCACACGGUCAUGAAUGGAGUUUAAGGAUUUACCCCCUCGCCAGUCAUGGAAUAAUUGCCGAGGAGGUAAAGGGGCAAUUGAUAACCGCCUGGUUUUUCUAGCCCAGAAAUAAGGACGGAUCCAAAAGAAGGCCACAAGUCCAAAGCCCGUCAGACCAUAUGCUCGAAAGACGGCCCGAUUUCACAAGCCUAGAACCAGCAACCCAGGGCAAUUCAGAUCAGAUACGAGCACAGGCCCAAUAGGGAAGCAGGCCCAGUCACUCACCAACCCUGUUCGCACGCGUGACAGGGAGAAUUAAAUGGCCGCCUGGUAUGGAGAAGGGGUUUGACACGUCCGUACGUACGGGCCUGAGUGACAUGGACAGGUAGCACUAUAGACUAUGGGGUCUUCUCUUUUCUUAGGGCUCUCUCUUCUGGAGGCUCAGGGGGCUUCUUCUUCCUUCUCCUUCUUGGACUCCAUUUUUAUUUUCUCUCUGCAACUCUUGCCUAAAUAUACUACUUUAAUUCAUGAAAUCUGACUUGAACGUCGAAGGGUCUCCACCGGGGAAUCCCCGGUAGACCCCUGACCGUUUUUCCUUGUUUUGCAGGUCUUUUCAUCAGAUAGAACAUUGAGAGACCCAUUUGAUGGACCCAUAUGAUGGACCAAGAAGGAAGUCAGAUCUAUCAUGGACUAGGAGGAGAAAAAGAUUUAUCAGCAAUAUUUAAAAUAUAUCAC